AGUGAACGCUGGCGGUAGGCCUAACACAUGCAAGUCGAACGGCAGCACAGUAAGAGCUUGCUCUUACGGGUGGCGAGUGGCGGACGGGUGAGGAAUACAUCGGAAUCUACUUUUUCGUGGGGGAUAACGUAGGGAAACUUACGCUAAUACCGCAUACGACCUACGGGUGAAAGCAGGGGAUCUUCGGACCUUGCGCGAUUGAAUGACCCGAUGUCGGAUUAGCUAGUUGGCGGGGUAAAGGCCCACCAAGGCGACGAUCCGUAGCUGGUCUGAGAGGAUGACCAGCCACACUGGAACUGAGACACGGUCCAGACUCCUACGGGAGGCAGCAGUGGGGAAUAUUGGACAAUGGGCGCAAGCCUGAUCCAGCCAUGCCGCGUGGAUGAAGAAGGCCUUCGGGUUGUAAAGCCCUUUUGUUGGGAAAGAAAAGCAGCAGGUUAAUACCCCGCUGUUCUGACGGUACCCAAAGAAUAAGCACCGGCUAACUUCGUG
rnacentral:rRNA from 1 species